rnacentral:rRNA from 1 species
CAGCCGCCGCGGUAAUCCGUAGGUGGCAAGCGUUGUCCGGAUUUAUUGGGCGUAAAGCGGGCGCAGGCGGUUUGAUAAGUCUGAAGUCAAAGGCUGUGGCUCAACCAUAGUUCGCUUUGGAAACUGUCAAACUUGAGUGCAGAAGGGGAGAGUGGAAUUCCAUGUGUAGCGGUGAAAUGCGUAGAUAUAUGGAGGAACACCGGUGGCGAAAGCGGCUCUCUGGUCUGUAACUGACGCUGAGGCUCGAAAGCGUGGGGAGCGAACAGGAUUAGAUACCCGGGUAGUCCCUGUCUCUUAUACA